rnacentral:sRNA from 1 species
GGUAAUAUAAAAUAGAUAAAACUUGUUCUCUAAUUUCUAAAGAUUUUGAGUAUUAUUGCUUUUGACACAUAAAUUCUGUUGCCUAAUAGUUCUCUACAUUUUGUGUAUUUAGAAAACUUCUGUGAAGCUAUCAGUAAACUUCAAGAAAAUUACAUUGCAGCAGAAGAACUUCAGUCUAUUUUGCCUUCAACAGGAAUUAAUUUAUUAGAUGAAGAAUUCCAGAAGAUUGUGACAGACACUAGUAGAAAUGAGAAUGGAAUGGUGGAGUUAGAUGACUUUAUAAGUGCUCUCUCCAAGGAGCGAAGUUUUCCUGAAUGCAAUGCGUUGCCUGGUGUCAUUAAAGCCAUUGAUAAAAUUAAAGAUAAAAAUGUGGAUUAUGAGGAUCUAAAUACUUGUCUUCAAAAUUUUUGUAUUUACCUUUCUAAGCCAGAAUUUAAGAAGAUCACAGAACUGACUGAAGCUGGUGAAACAAAAAAAGUGAAUUUUAAAGAAUUCAUUGAUACUAUGAUGAGCAACACGGAAUGCUUCUCUGAAAAAUUAU